rnacentral:rRNA from 1 species
UACAGAGGGGGCAAGCGUUGUUCGGAAUUACUGGGCGUAAAGGGCGCGUAGGCGGCCUUCUAAGUCGAACGUGAAAUCCCCGGGCUCAACCCGGGAACUGCGUCCGAUACUGGAAGGCUUGAAUCCGGGAGAGGGAUGUGGAAUUCCAGGUGUAGCGGUGAAAUGCGUAGAUAUCUGGAGGAACACCGGUGGCGAAGGCGAACAUCCUGGACCGGUAUUGACGCUGAGGCGCGAAAGCGUGGGGAGCGAACGAGG